rnacentral:rRNA from 1 species
UAACAAAGAGAAGCAAGACCGUGAGGUGGAGCAAAACUCAAAAACUUGUCUCAGUUCGGAUUGUAGGCUGAAACUCGCCUACAUGAAGCUGGAGUUGCUAGUAAUCGCGAAUCAGCAUGUCGCGGUGAAUACGUUCCCGGGUCUUGUACACACCGCCCGUCACACCAUGGGAGUUGGUAACGCCCGAAGCCAGUGACCCAACCUUAAGAGGAGGGAGCUGUCGAAGGUGGGACCGAUAACUGGGGUGAAGUCGUAACAAGGUAAC